GGGGGAUAAAAAGGGGGGUGUGUUUUUUCUCAAAUUUUUUUUCCUCUUUUUUAAAUUGGGGAGAGGAAAAAAAGCCCCCAAGGGAAAAAAUUUUGGGGUUUUAAAUCUCUUUUAAUUGUUUUUUUUUUUUUUAGGGCAUUUUUUUUUUAAAAUUAAAAAUUUCCGGGGGGGUUAAAAGAAGGAGCCUUGGUUCCUUUUUAAGUUAAGUUUGGAAAAGUAAAAAGUUUACCCAAGGGUUACGAAAGGUAGGGGGCCCUGAGGAGGGUGACCCCCCCACCCUUGUUAUUGAGACACGGACCCAGAUUCCUACGGGAAGCCAGCAGUGAGGAAUUAUGGCCAAAUGGAGGAAACUUUGACGCAGCCAUGCCGCGUGCAGGAUGAUUGCCCUAUGGGUUGUUAAAUUGCUUUUCUGCAAGAAGAAACUUUAGUACGUGUACUAAGCUGACGGUAUUGCAGGAAUAAGCACCGGCUAACUCCGUGCCAGCAGCCGCGGUAAUACGGAGGGUGCAAGCGUUAUCCGGAUUUAUUGGGUUUAAAGGGUCCGCAGGCGGAACUUUAAGUCAGUGGUGAAAGCCUACAGCUUAACUGUAGAACUGCCAUUGAUACUGAAGUUCUUGAGUGUGGUUGAAGUGGGCGGAAUAUGUCAUGUAGCGGUGAAAUGCAUAGAUAUGACAUGGAACACCAAUUGCGAAAGCAGCUCACUAAACCAUUACUGACGCUCAUGGACGAAAGUGUGGGUAGCGGACAGGAUUAGAUACCCUGGUAGUCCACACCGUAAACUAUGAUCACUAGAUGUUGGCGAUAUAAUGUCAGUGUUAAAGAGAAAUCGUUAAGUGAUCCACCUGGGGAGUACGUUCGCAAGAAUGAAACUCAAAGGAAUUGACGGGGGCCCGCACAAGCGGUGGAGCAUGCGGUUUAAUUCGAUGAUACGCGAGGAACCUUACCAAGGCUUAAAUGUAAAACGACCGGUUGAGAAAUCAAUCUUUUUUCGAACGAUUUACAAGGUGCUGCAUGGUUGUCGUCAGCUCGUGCCGUGAGGUGUCGGGUUAAGUCCCAUAACGAGCGCAACCCCUAUUUUUAGUUACCAGCGAGUAAUGUCGGGAACUCUAAAGAAACUGCCCGUGCAAACGGAGAGGAAGGUGGGGAUGACGUCAAAUCAUCACGGCCCUUAUGUCUUGGGCUACACACGUGCUACAAUGGUUAUUACAAUGAGAUGCAAACUGGUGACAGUAAGCUAAUCUAUAAAAAUAACCUCAGUUCGGAUCGGAGUCUGCAACUCGACUCUGUGAAGUUGGAAUCGCUAGUAAUCGCACAUCAGCCAUGGUGUCUGUAAUCGCGCCCC
rnacentral:rRNA from 1 species